AUGACAACUGGUGAAGCAGUUUCAAGAAUGUCUAGCGAUACGGUCAUAAUUCAAGAUGCUCUUGGUGAGAAGGCAGCGAAGCUUAUACAAACCGUAUCUGCCUUCUUUGGGGGUUUUAUCGUAGCAUUCACAAAAGGCUGGCUCCUCACUCUUGUCAUGCUAACAUCACUACCAUUAGUUGCUAUCGCUGGUGCAGUGUCUGCACAACUGCUAACUGGGGUUUCUAGCAAGCGACUAACAUCGUAUAGUGAUGCUGCAGACACAGUUGAACAGACAAUUGGAUCUAUACGAACAGUUGUGUCCUUCAAUGGCGAGAAGAAAGCUAUAGAAAUGUAUAACAAAUUCAAUAAAAAUGCAUACAAGACUGCUGUUGAGGAAGGCCUCGUCAAUGGUUUUGGCAUGGGCUCUGUCUUCUGCAUCAUAUUGAGCAGCUAUGGUCUAGGCUUCUGGUAUGGUGGAAAGCUAAUCCUUGACAAAGGAUACACUGGAGGGAAGAUCAUCACUGUUUUGUUUGCCGUAUUAACUGGCGCAAAGUGA
rnacentral:rRNA from 1 species